rnacentral:misc_RNA from 1 species
AUUUAGGGCGGAGAAGAUUGUGUUCUUUUCCUCUAUACGGGAGCCUUGGUGUAACCAGUAAAGUUGUUUUCAGUUUUCACGUGACCAGGAGGUCAAGGGUUCGAGCAGUAGAAACAACCUGUUGCAGAAAUGCAGGGCAAGGCUGCGGACAACAGACCCUUGUGAUCCGGCCGUUUCUUGAACUCCGUGCAUCGCGGGAGCUUAGUGCACCGGGUUGUCCUUUUCUGACAGGAGUAGUGGCUUUGUCAUUGACCGUCUUCGUGGUCAAUAGCAG